rnacentral:rRNA from 1 species
GACGAACGCUGGCGGCGUGCCUAACACAUGCAAGUCGAGCGGAGACAGGGAGUAGCUUGCUAUGAGCUGUUUUAGCGGCGGACGGGUGAGUAACGCGUGAGCAACCUUUCCCAGACAGGGGAAUAACACACCGAAAGGUGUACUAAUACCGCAUAAGACCACGGGAUCACAUGGUUCUGGGGUAAAAGAUUUAUCGGUUUGGGGUGGGCUCGCGUCCGAUUAGGUAGUUGGUGAGGUAACGGCCCACCAAGCCGACGAUCGGUAGCCGACCUGAGAGGGUGAUCGGCCACAUUGGGACUGAGACACGGCCCAAACUCCUACGGGAGGCAGCAGUGGGGAAUAUUGGGCAAUGGAGGAAACUCUGACCCAGCAACGCCGCGUGGAGGAAGAAGGUUUUCGGAUCGUAAACUCCUGUCCUUGGAGACGAGUAGAAGACGGUAUC